rnacentral:rRNA from 1 species
GACGAACGCUGGCGGCGUGCCUAAUACAUGCAAGUUGAGCGAUGAAGAUUGGUGCUUGCACCCAUUUGAAGAGCAGCGAACGGGUGAGUAACGCGUGGGGAAUCUGCCUUUGAGCGGGGGACAACAUUUGGAAACGAAUGCUAAUACCGCAUAAUAACUUUAAACAUAAGUUUUAAGUUUGAAAGAUGCAAUUGCAUCACUCAAAGAUGAUCCCGCGUUGUAUUAGCUAGUUGGUGAGGUAAAGGCUCACCAAGGCGAUGAUACAUAGCCGACCUGAGAGGGUGAUCGGCCACAUUGGGACUGAGACACGGCCCAAACUCCUACGGGAGGCAGCAGUAGGGAAUCUUCGGCAAUGGACGAAAGUCUGACCGAGCAACGCCGCGUGAGUGAAGAAGGUUUUCGGAUCGUAAAACUCUGUUGGUAGGGAAGAACGUUGGUGAGAGUGGAAAGCUCAUCAAGUGACGGUAACUACCCAGAAAGGGACGGCUAACUACGU